rnacentral:rRNA from 1 species
AGAUUGAACGCUGGCGGCGUGCCUAACACAUGCAAGUCGAGCGGUAACAGGUGUAGCAAUACAUGCUGACGAGCGGCGAACGGGUGAGUAAUGCUUUGGAAUCUUCCCAGUAGUGGGGAAUAACCAGUCGAAAGAUUGGCUAAUACCGCAUACGUCUGUAAAGGGAAAGCGGGGGCUCGUAAGACCUCGCGCUAUUGGAUGAGCCAAAGUCGGAUUAGCUAGUUGGUGGGGUAACGGCCUACCAAGGCGACAAUCCGUAGCUGGUCUGAGAGGACGACCAGCCACACCGGAACUGAGACACGGUCCGGACUCCUACGGGAGGCAGCAGUGGGGAAUAUUGGACAAUGGGGGAAACCCUGAUCCAGCGACGCCGCGUGUGUGAAGAAGGCCUGCGGGUUGUAAAGCACUUUUAGUGGGGACAAAAGCUACGGAUUAAUACUCUGUGGUCUUGAUUUAACCCAAAGAAAAGCACCGGCUAACUCUGUGCCAGCAGCCGC